rnacentral:rRNA from 1 species
GGAGUCUAGCAUGUGCGCGAGUCAUUGGGACAUUACUAAACCUAAAGGCGCAAUGAAAGUGAAAAUCAUCCUUCGCGGAUGAUUAAGGGAGGAUGGGCGACAGUUACGGUUGUCGCCUCGCACUCCCGGGGCGUCUCGUUCUCAUUGCGAGAAGAGGCGCACCAAGAGCGUACACGCUGGGACCCGAAAGAUGGUGAACUAUGCCUGGUCAGGACGAAGUCAGGGGAAACCCUGAUGGAGGUCCGUAGCGAUUCUGACGUGCAAAUCGAUCGUCGGAACUGGGUAUAGGGGCGAAAGACUAAUCGAACCAUCUAGUAGCUGGUUCCCUCCGAAGUUUCCCUCAGGAUAGCUGGCGCUCGUUGCGCACGAGUUUCAUCCGGUAAAGCGAAUGAUUAGAGGCAUUGGGGUCGAAACGGCCUCAACCUAUUCUCAAACUUUAAAUGGGUGAGAUCUCCGGCUUGCUCGAACUAUUGAAGCCGCGAGACUCGAAUCAGAGUGCCAAGUGGGCCAUUUUUGGUAAGCAGAACUGGCGCUGUGGGAUGAACCAAACGCCGAGUUAAAGCGCCUAAAUCGACGCUUAUGGGAUACCAUGAAAGGCGUUGGUAACUUAAGACAUCAGGACGGUGGCCAUGGAAGUU